AUGAACGCUGGCGGCGUGCCUAAUACAUGCAAGUCGAGCGAACAGAUGAGGAGCUUGCUCCUCUGACGUUAGCGGCGGACGGGUGAGUAACACGUGGAUAACCUACCUAUAAGACUGGGAUAACUUCGGGAAACCGGAGCUAAUACCGGAUAAUAUAUUGAACCGCAUGGUUCAAUAGUGAAAGACGGUUUUGCUGUCACUUAUAGAUGGAUCCGCGCCGCAUUAGCUAGUUGGUAAGGUAACGGCUUACCAAGGCAACGAUGCGUAGCCGACCUGAGGGGGUGAUCGGCCACACUGGAACUGAGACACGGUCCAGACUCCUACGGGAGGCAGCAGUAGGGAAUCUUCCGCAAUGGGCGAAAGCCUGACGGAGCAACGCCGCGUGAGUGAUGAAGGUCUUCGGAUCGUAAAACUCUGCUAUUAGGGAAGAACAAAUGUGUAAGUAACUAUGCACGUCUUGACGGUACCUAAUCAGAAAGCCACGGCUAACUACGUG
rnacentral:rRNA from 1 species